AAAUGGAGUCACAAGCGAAUCUAACAUGCCAAAAUCUCCCUACAAUCUUCUCCUCUUUCGUUGACACAUUCGUCGAUUUCUCUGUCAGCGGUGGUAUUUUCUUACCGCCGUCAAUAACCCCAAAACCCCAAAAUCCAUUACAAACAAUCUUCCCUUCUCCGACUCGUUUAAUUGCUAUAGGUGAUAUCCAUGGUGAUUUUCAAAAAUCCAAAGAAUCCUUCAAACUUGCUGGCUUAAUUGAUGAUCAUGAUAAAUGGUGUGGUGGGUCAACGACAGUUGUACAAAUAGGUGAUGUGCUA
rnacentral:misc_RNA from 1 species